rnacentral:rRNA from 1 species
GAUGAACGCUGGCGGCGUGCCUAAUACAUGCAAGUCGAGCGAACGGACGAGAAGCUUGCUUCUCUGAUGUUAGCGGCGGACGGGUGAGUAACACGUGGAUAACCUACCUAUAAGACUGGGAUAAUUUCGGGAAACCGGAGCUAAUACCGGAUAAUAUUUUGAACCGCAUGGUUCAAAAGUGAAAGACGGUCUUGCUGUCACUUAUAGAUGGAUCCGCGCUGCAUUAGCUAGUUGGUAAGGUAACGGCUUACCAAGGCAACGAUGCAUAGCCGACCUGAGAGGGUGAUCGGCCACACUGGAACUGAGACACGGUCCAGACUCCUACGGGAGGCUGCAGUAGGGAAUCUUCCGCAAUGGGCGAAAGCCUGACGGAGCAACGCCGCGUGAGUGAUGAAGGUCUUCGGAUCGUAAAACUCUGUUAUUAGGGAAGAACAUAUGUGUAAGUAACUGUGCACAUCUUGACGGUACCUAAUCAGAAAGCCACGGCUAACUACGUG